AAAGGGAUACCGUGCCCAUGGAACUUUCAAUAACACCCAAUGAGAAACGAAAUAUCAUGGAGCAUUGAGAAUUGGAAUGCGAUUAAAUUAUGAGGUUUGGAAACAAAAAUAUGGUUCACCAACAAUAAUGGAUAUCCUUGUGGCGUAUUAUUGAAAACAUAGGCUAAUAAAGAUGCAUAUGGAUGAUUAACACCCUCAAUCUACUUAAUACUUAACUUUAAGGGCCAUAAGAUAAGAAAAGUAAUGGCGUAAUAACAUUAUGUUUGCACAAUUCACGUGAUAAUAAAACGAAGUCUAUGUAUGUCAUAAUCGUUUGUCCAUUUUACAUAGGAACAAAGAUAGGCAGAUGAUUUUAGACAAUCAGUUUAUACAAGGCGGUAAUAUCUGUAAUACCACUACAGAUGGAAAUGUGGCACAUAUGUACUAUGUAUCAAGAGGCAUUAUUUAGUGUACCACUUUUUUUAAAAUACACCAGUGGCGGGCGUAAUUAAAUUUAAUUUCUUGAGGUUUUUUUCAACUCGAUGUACGGUUUUCGCUUUAAAAAAUAAAAAACCUCUUUUCAGCAUAGUAAUAGCAAUAUCGUUAAUAUGACAGCAUGCAGAAAAAUUAGUUUUUACUUUUAAGUAAAAACCGUGCGACUGACUUAAGAAAAAUUAAGAGAUAUCAGCUCAUAAAUGAUUGCAAAUUUCAUUGUUUUUUUUAACGAAGUCAGUGACGUGCUACUGACUGUCUAUGAACAAAAAUUUAGGCUGAUGAGGUCGCGACUGCGCUGGUUACUUGGGAUUUUUUUUUUGAAAAAUAAAUAUCUAUCUAAAAAAUGUCUACAUUUUAGUUACCAACUCGUGUCCUUCAGAAACAACAAAUAUUAGAGGACUGUUCUUUUUACUUUUGGAGUUUUAAUGAAAUAACAUCCUAACAACAAGAUAAAUAAUAAACGAUUCUUAUUAAUAAAAAAAACACUACCUACUGUUAAUAUUUUUUAAUUUUUAUUUUUUUAAUUAAUAAACCUUUUUUUAAAAAAAUAGAACAUAGAAACUAGAUAAGUUGUUAAAAGUGUCCUCUACCUUGGAAGGUUACACGAGUUAUGUUACCAUACACCCUGAGAACCUGCUGAGUGUGCAAGACUCGCAACAUAACGAUGGGAAAGAUGCGCAACGGGCAGUCAUUUGAAAAUAUUUUUGUUGUAAUCUUGUAAACUUGUAAUUCGAAAAUAAAGUUAUUUUUUUAAAAAUCGGCAACCACGGUCUGGUUAGUUAACUGGCGCAGU